rnacentral:lncRNA from 1 species
CCCCCCCUCUCCAAACUCCACCUCCCCCCUGGGCGGAGCUGUUCCAGAGCUCCAGAGCUGGCUGUCGUCCUGUCCAGACCGCGCGGGGCUAUGGACCGGGACAGAGCCAGCCCGGAGCGGCCGGCGCUCGCUCCGGAUGAGUACGAGACCGUGAGCUCCACGCAGCAGGAUGGGGAGACCAUGGGCGAGCAGGACUGCAGGGGGUGCGCUCUUCCUAGGCGUCGCCGGGCUGUCCCUGUCCUCUCGGCUCUGCUCUCCCUCUCUCUGGCCGCCAAUGUCGCCCUGUGCGUCUACGUGUUCUGGCCUGGACUACUUCAAGGCUCUCUGAUCUCCAGCCCGGCUGCCACUGCAUCGUGCCCGACAGCAGACGGUCAGACCUCCAAACCCACCAGCGCUCCCUCCAGCACGACAGCAGGGAUGGCCACCUCUGGGACAACCCUGACUCCAACGAGCACUACAGCAGGUAGAAACCGAGCUAGCAGGCCGGGAUCUGUAGUCCCCAGGUUGGGUGUGACAGGGGUGAUGGUAUGAAAGAGGUUUUGGGAUGUUCCUUAUUGAUGCUGUACUUAGUAAUUGGCAGAACUGACUCUAUAUGAGC